rnacentral:rRNA from 1 species
UACGAAGGGUGCAAGCGUUACUCGGAAUUACUGGGCGUAAAGCGUGCGUAGGCGGUUUGUCGCGUCUGCUGUGAAAACCUAAGGCUCAACCUUGGGCUUGCAGUGGGUACGGGCAGACUAGAGUGUGGUAGGGGGAGACUGGAAUUCCUGGUGUAGCGGUGAAAUGCGCAGAUAUCAGGAGGAACACCGAUGGCGAAGGCAGGUCUCUGGGCCAUAACUGACGCUGGAGGUGCGAAAGCGUGGGGAGCAAACAGG